UACGUAGGCAGCAAGCGUUGUUCGGAGUUACUGGGCGUAAAGGGUGUGUAGGCGGUUCCUUAAGUUUGCUGUGAAAUCUCCCGGCUUAACCGGGAGGGUGCGGUGAAUACUGAGGGACUAGAGUACGGGAGAGGAAAGUGGAAUUCCUGGUGUAGCGGUGAAAUGCGUAGAUAUCAGGAGGAACACCGGUGGCGUAGACGGCUUUCUGGACCGUAACUGACGCUGAGACACGAAAGCGUGGGUAGCAAACAGG
rnacentral:rRNA from 1 species